GAGACAAGGAAACUUGGAAUGACUUUUCAUAGGUUUCCCAGAGACUAUGGGUUGAGGAGGAAGUGGAAGUUUGUCGGCUUAGACCUGGUGUCAUUCCAUCAGUGUUAAACUUCCCGGCUCAUCUUUGAAGAGUACGUGCCAGAAAGACCACAACCAAGCAGCCUUGAGAUCUUAGGCAGCGUCUCCCUCAGGUCCCUCUCUAUCUCCCCACACAUCCACCAACCACUGGAACACAUCUCCAAAGUUCUGCUGGACCAGCUCAGCUUCCCCUCAGAAGAAGUUCCACCAGAUGAAGGAGCCUUUUGAGAGGCAGCUGGCAUCGUGAUUGGACUGUACUUUGGUCUGUUCCAAUCCAGCUUCAGCUCCAGAGAUGGCAGGCGGGACGAGUCAACGGAGGCCUGGUGGAUGAAGACAUGCAGCUGAGUACAAUCCAGAAAACAACAGAG
ensembl:lncRNA